rnacentral:rRNA from 1 species
GUGCCAGCAGCCGCGGUAAUACGUAGGGUGUGAGCGUUGUCCGGAUUUAUUGGGCGUAAAGGGCUCGUAGGUGGUUGAUCGCGUCGGAAGUGUAAUCUUGGGGCUUAACCCUGAGCGUGCUUUCGAUACGGGUUGACUUGAGGAAGGUAGGGGAGAAUGGAAUUCCUGGUGGAGCGGUGGAAUGCGCAGAUAUCAGGAGGAACACCAGUGGCGAAGGCGGUUCUCUGGGCCUUUCCUGACGCUGAGGAGCGAAAGCGGGGGGAGCGAACAGGCUUAGAUACCCUGGUAGUCCACGCUGUAAACGGUGGGUACUAGGUGUGGGGUCCAUUCCACGGGUUCCGUGCCGUAGCUAACGCUUUAAGUACCCCGCCUGGGGAGUACGGCCGCAAGGCUAAAACUCAAAGGAAUUGACGGGGCCCCGCACAAGGGGGCGGGAGCAUGCGGAUUAAUUCGAUGCAACGCGUAGAACCUUACCUGGGUUUGACAUGGAUCGGGGAGUGCUCAGAGAUGGGUGUGCCUCUUUUGGGGUCGGUUCACAGGUGGUGCAUGGCUUGUCGUCAGCCUCGUGUCGUGAGAUGUUGGGUUAAAGUCCGCAACGGAGCGCAACCCUGGUCACUGUUGCCAGCACGUUAUGUGGGAACUCAGUGGAGACGCCGGGUCCACUCGGAGGGAAGUGGGAUGACGUCAGUCAUCAUGCCUUAUGUCAGGCUCACGCAUGCUACAUGCUGGUACGAAGUGCGAGCUGGAGUGACGAUCUCGAAGCGGUCUCAGUCGA